GAUGAACGCUGGCGGCGUGCCUAAUACAUGCAAGUCGAGCGAACAGACGAGGAGCUUGCUCCUCUGACGUUAGCGGCGGACGGGUGAGUAACACGUGGAUAACCUACCUAUAAGACUGGGAUAACUUCGGGAAACCGGAGCUAAUACCGGAUAAUAUAUUGAACCGCAUGGUUCAAUAGUGAAAGACGGUUUUGCUGUCACUUAUAGAUGGAUCCGCGCCGCAUUAGCUAGUUGGUAAGGUAACGGCUUACCAAGGCAACGAUGCGUAGCCGACCUGAGAGAGUGAUCGGCCACACUGGAACGGAUACACGGUCCAGACGCCUACGGGAGGCAGCAGUAGGGAAUCUUCCGCAGUGGGCGAAAGCUUGACGGAGCAACGCCGCGUGAGUGGUGAAGGUGUUCGGAUCGUAAAACUCUGUUAUUAGGGAAGAACAAAUGUGGAAGUAACUAUGCACGUCUUGACGGUACCUAAUCAGAAAGCCACGGCUAACUACGUG
rnacentral:rRNA from 1 species